AGUAUUCUCAAUUGAGAAUCAGGAACUACACUUUGGUCUUUGUUUAGUUUUGAGUCAGCANUGGCUCGAUUGUUCAUUGAAAACUGAAUCAUUCCGAUUAAUCAUUCGAUGCGAGUGAUUAAUCAAACAAAUUCUAGAUAUUAUUACGAAAGUAAUAAUUUCAACCGAGAAUUGACCGAGUCUAUAAUGAAAGUUAUAGAACAAUAGCGCAAAUAAAUAAUCAUACUAAAUGAUAGUGG
rnacentral:misc_RNA from 1 species